rnacentral:ribozyme from 13 species
CAAAAAGAGAGAAAGAAGAGAGAAAGAGGCUCCUUUGCAAAAAAAAAAACAAAAGCAAAUGAAUUCUCUCUCAUUUCUCUUCCGUUCAUCUCUCUCUUCUUGCCGACCAAUUCAUCUUUCUCCUUCUCUCUCUUUUGCACCUCUCCUUCAAAC